rnacentral:rRNA from 1 species
GAAGUCGUUAUGAUGAUUUCAACACUGACAGAGAACUUGUUCAAAGAAAGUAGAGAUUGACUUAUAACAAUGGCUUUAGUGGCGGACUGGUGAGUAACACGUGAGCAACCUGCCUAUCAGAGGGGAAUAACAGUGAGAAAUCAUUGCUAAUACCGCAUAUGCCAUAAAUAUCACAUGAUGAAAGUGGGAAAGGAGUAAUCCGCUGAUAGAUGGGCUCGCGUCUGAUUAGAUAGUUGGUGGGGUAACGGCCUACCAAGUCGACGAUCAGUAGCCGGACUGAGAGGUUGAACGGCCACAUUGGGACUGAGAUACGGCCCAGACUCCUACGGGAGGCAGCAGUCGGGAAUAUUGCGCAAUGGAGGAAACUCUGACGCAGUGACGCCGCGUAUAGGAAGAAGGUUUUCGGAUUGUAAACUAUUGUCGUUAGGGAAGAUACAAGACAGUACCUAAGGAGGAAGCUCCGGCUAACUACGUGCCAGCAGCCGCGGUAAUACGUAGGGAGCAAGCGUUAUCCGGAUUUAUUGGGUGUAAAGGGUGCGUAGACGGGAAAGCAAGUUAGUUGUGAAAUCCCUCGGCUUAACUGAGGAACUGCAACUAAAACUACUUUUCUUGAGUGUUGGAGAGGAAAGUGGAAUUCCUAGUGUAGCGGUGAAAUGCGUAGAUAUUAGGAGGAACACCGGUGGCGAAGGCGACUUUCUGGACAAUAACUGACGUUGAGGCACGAAAGUGUGGGGAGCAAACAGGAUUAGAUACCCUGGUAGUCCACACCGUAAACGAUGGAUACUAGGUGUAGGGAACAUUAAGUUU